rnacentral:tRNA from 1 species
GCCCGUCUAGCUCAGUCGGUAGAGCGCAAGGCUCUUAACCUUGUGGUCGUGGGUUCGACCCCCACAGUGGGCG